rnacentral:rRNA from 1 species
ACGCUGGCGGCACGCCUAAUACAUGCAAGUCGAACGAAGUAGCAAUACUUAGUGGCAGACGGGUGAGUAACAUGUGGGUAUCUUCCCUUUGGUGAGGAAUAACACGAGGAAACUUGUGCUAAUACCUCAUAAGUCUUUACGGAGAAAGCUUUAUGCGCCAUUGGAUGAGCCUGCACUUGAUUAGUUUGUUGGUGGGGUAAUGGCCUACCAAGACUGUGAUCAAUAGCUGAUUUGAGAGGAUGAUCAGCCACAUUGGGACUGAGACACGGCCCAAACUCCUACGGGAGGCAGCAGUAGGGAAUCUUGCACAAUGGAGGAAACUCUGAUGCAGCGAUGCCGCGUGAGUGAAGAAGGCCCUUGGGUUGUAAAGCUCUUUCGUCGGGGAAGAAAAUGACUGUACCCGAAUAAGAAGGUCCGGCUAACUUCGUGCCAGCAGCCGCGGUAAUACGAAGGGACCUAGCGUAGUUCGGAAUUACUGGGCUUAAAGAGUUCGUAGGUGGUUAAAAUAGUUGGUGGUGAAAUCCCAGAGCUUAACUCUGGAACUGCCAUCAAAACUUUUUAGCUAGAGUAUGAUAGAGGAAAGCAGAAUUUCUAGUGUAGAGGUGAAAUUCGUAGAUAUUAGAAAGAAUACCGAUUGCGAAGGCAGCUUUCUGGAUCAUUACUGACACUGAGGAACGAAAGCAUGGGUAGCGAAGAGGAUUAGAUACCCUCGUAGUCCAUGCUGUAAACGAUGUGUGUUAGACGUUGGAAAUUUAUUUUCAGUGUCGCAGCAAAAGCGAUAAACACACCGCCUGGGGAGUACGACCGC